GAAAUGCGAUAAGUAAUGUGAAUUGCAGAAUUCAGUGAAUCAUCGAAUCUUUGAACGCACAUUGCGCCCGCCAGUCUUCUGGCGGGCAUGCCUGUUCGAGCGUCAUUACAACCCUCAGGCCCCCGGGCCUGGCGUUGGGGAUCGGCGGAAGCCCCCUGCGGGCACAACGCCGUCCCCCAAAUACAGUGGCGGUCCCGCCGCAGCUUCCAUUGCGUAGUAGCUAACACCUCGCAACUGGAGAGCGGCGCGGCCACGCCGUAAAACACCCAACUUCUGAAUGUUGACCUCGAAUCAGGUAGGAAUACCCGCUGAACUUAAGC
rnacentral:misc_RNA from 1 species